rnacentral:rRNA from 1 species
UACGUAGGGUGCAAGCGUUUGUCCGGAAUUAUUGGGCGUAAAGAGCUCGUAGGCGGUUUGUCGCGUCUGCUGUGAAAACUCGAGGCUCAACCUCGAGACGUCGAUGGAAACCCUCUGGCUAGAGUCCGGAAGAGGAGAGUGGAAUUCCUGGUGUAGCGAUGAAAUGCGCAGAUAUCAGGAAGAACACCCGUGGCGAAGGCGGCUCUCUGGGACGGUACUGACGCUGAGACGCGAAAGCGUGGGGAGCAAACAGG